ACUUAUAUCUUGCAAAGGGAAAUACUAUGUUGUUAAAGUGGUUUUCCCAAGGAGAGGCUCUUCCAUUGCACCUUGGUUGUACUGUUGAUCCCUGUGAUUUCCUCAAAUGUGGGAAACUCAGCUGCAUAAUGUGUGUUAAUGGGAGAUUGCUCUAGUGAUUUUCCU
rnacentral:snRNA from 1 species